CAUAAUUUACAUUGAUAAAUGGAGAAGCAUAUGAAACAUGAGAGAAUAACAUGAAUAAUCACAUAACAUUAUUUACAUAUAUUUAUUAUAUAAUCCUGGAUAAAUAAGAACAAUAUCGAAUUACAUUUGUACCUUCGACUCGACAGAAGGUAAAAGUACAAGCGUAACGCACGAGCGAGUACAAGUCAGCGUGAACAGUAUGGGGGUACUGUUCAUCUAUUUAUAGGCACAGGUCGCAGCCCGUGUGAAAUUACAUUCAUGCCCUUCAUAUUCACUAUUGACUUAAGAACAAUCUAUUGAGGACUAAAUAGCCUUUUCCUCCUUAAGUCGGUUCCUUUUUCUGCUAUCGAGUCGAAGCUCCCUUGCGCACAGCUUCGGCGCUGGUUCAACCUUCGUUCCGACCCUGCUCUCCGUAUUGUGUACAACUUCAUCCCGAGUCCGAAGGUUCCUGUACAUAUAUUAUACUUGGGAAACAUUGUUAAUCAUGUUUUUGAGGACCUUCGGAAGACGAAGGCCCCCAACAAUUAUUUCAUUUUAAUUUAUGAAAUGUUGAUAGUUAGCCAUUCAACUUGACAAACUACACAAGUAUAAUCAUUAUCUCAUUAAUGACUAUUUAUUCAAUUUUCUGACUGUUUUAGUGUUUACUACCUUGUGAAGUUUCUAUUAUGUGUUGUAAGGUAUUAUUAAGAUCCUACAACAAAAUCUCCUUGUCGUGAUGGGAUUUUGAGACUCAAGUAAAAGCAUUAAAAUUUUCAUGCCAUUCUUACAUGCAUUUACAUGCCACCUGACCAUUAUUUUCUCUUGAAAUACACUAUUUGACUGAUCUAUGCUUCCCAACCAAUAUCUCCAAGUUACUUUACGAAAUUGUUCAGACUUUAGAGUACUUUCCUUUUUUGGGCUACUGCUCUGCUUCGCCCAUCAAAAAGUGUAUCGUUAUCUUGAUCGAGAGGUCAUCUUCCUUUUAUGGUUUCAAAUGUAUAUGCAAGGGCACAUUUUGAAUUAAAAGGAACCGACUUCUUUUCAAUGUCCACUGUUUGAACACCUGAUGUGGUAGAUUGCAUGCCUUUUUUGUUUUCAGUUCAUUCUUUAGUAGCCUGUUGUUUCGGCUAGCGAGCGGGUGCGGAAGAAGGAAGGGAGAGGCGCUUGGUUAACCGGACGACAGGACACCACCGGGGGUUCGCUGCAACGCAGCGACGGCUUCUGUAGCUUCUCAGGCCAAGGUAAGCUUUCAAGCGAAUUUGUCGCUGCAACUGUUCUUUAGUAGCCUGUGAUAUGUUAGUGAAUUUGUCGCUCAAACAUAAAAUGAACUGACUUCUUUUCAAUGCUUCCCCUAAUAUGACUUUUAUAUGACAUAUGUUAAGUAAUACAAUGUCGAGCUUGUGUGUAUUGGGGGUUUUUUAUUGGGUAUAAAGUUUAUAUAUGCAUUCUUCCGGUAUAUAUCAGUUGAUGCUAAUUUUUAGAUAAAAUGAUAGUGGGGAGGCUUAGCUGGUAGUAUACUUUGAGUUCGGUGCACUUGCAUCCGUUCACAAUUCUCUUUAUCAUCUGCUUCUCUUCAUGUUCUUUUCCAAAUAUACCAUUUAACACAAAGGCAAACACCCUUAAGUGCUUCUCUUCAUGUUCUUUUCCAGUUACAUCGGUUGCUCUGUGAGACAACCACUCACUUGCAUUUCUUAACAAGCAUUUGCAGUUAUCUGUAGCAGUCCCAUAGUACCUCUCACGUCAACAAACAUGAAACAAGUUCUUCUUACCCAAUGAUGAACAAAGAUAUAUAACAACCUAGGGAGAUUGUCUGCAUAAGCACACUUGAAAUCAGAACCUUGAUGACGACAUGAUGACUGAUGAGAUUAAAUGACUUUAGAAAGUAAACGACGUGAUAAUUGAUCAGAAAACAUAUGACGACAUGAGAAUUGAUGAGAAUAAAAGGCUUUACAAAGUAAUAACUUUUUUGAGCUUCUGACAACAUAUUUUUUCAUGAACCAAUAGACAACAAUAGAAUAUUGAACCGCGAAAGUAUGACAUGUGUUCCAUUUAAAUUUAAAUUUUAAAUUAUGUUAAAGGCUAUAAGGUUUUGAUGGAACCGGUCGUACUGAACCGUAAAAGAGCCGCAGCGGACCGCCUAAAACGGAUGCCUAUGUAAGUUAUUAUAUGAAUAUAUUUACACAAAAUUUGUCUUUCAAAGUUAUGAUUGUUAUUUAGUCGUAUGUUUAAUAUAGCUUCAGGUUGUUCGACGACUACCGUGAUGAAGAUUUUUGUGGGCUACCGCAGAAAUACAGUAUUGUCGCUCGGGUAGAAGUUAAAUUCCCGAUUGAACCACGUUAUCGUGACAGACAACAUUUCAUUUUAUCUGACAUCAAUGUGGUCUUUACAUAUCAUUAAAGUUUGGGUGACCUACUAAACAAAAAUGCACUCCGCUGGACGUUGGCUAAGGAGGAUUAUGGCAUAAUAAUCGGUACUAUGUUUAGGCAGUUCAGAAGACAAGAGUGCCUCGAGUCUUCGGAUCAUACCGCAAUACACAUCAAUCUGUUCCAUCACAACACCCAUUAUUUUGGACGUAAGUAUAUUCUAAAAAAAUAGUUACAUUUAAAUCAUGAUUGUUCUCAUUAUAUCAUGAACUACGUGUAGAUAUGAUUAAUUGUGGCAUUCAUUGCAUCAAUUCAAAAAGCUUUGGUGGCGCGGAACAACCGUCAGUUUGCUGUUACAUUCCUUGAAGAACAAAGGCGUAGAUAGAUUCUACAAUUUCACAAAGAGCAAUAAUUGGGACUAUGUUUAGGCGUAGAUAGAUUCUAUAAUGAUAGAAUACAUGCCGUACUAUUGAUCAACCAAAAGCAACAUGAAGCUCAAUUGUAUGUCUAUGAAUUUUGUUUGUAAUACCUAUGACAUGGGUUUAAUAAGAGAUAGUUUGUGAUUUUUUUGUUCCAUAAUUAA